rnacentral:rRNA from 1 species
GAUGAACGCUGGCUACAGGCUUAACACAUGCAAGUCGAGGGGAAACGACGGGGAAGCUUGCUUCCCCGGGCGUCGACCGGCGCACGGGUGAGUAACGCGUAUCCAACCUGCCUCUGACUGAGGGAUAACCCGUCGAAAGUCGGCCUAAUACCUCAUGGCAUCGUCUGCGGGCAUCCAACGACGAUUAAAGAUUUCAUCGGUCAGGGAUGGGGAUGCGUCUGAUUAGCUUGUUGGCGGGGUAACGGCCCACCAAGGCGACGAUCAGUAGGGGUUCUGAGAGGAAGGUCCCCCACAUUGGAACUGAGACACGGUCCAAACUCCACGGGAGGCAGCAGUGAGGAAUAUUGGUCAAUGGGCGAGAGCCUGAACCAGCCAAGUAGCGUGCAGGAUGACGGCCCUAUGGGUUGUAAACUGCUUUUAUGCGGGGAUAAAGUGAGGGACGUGUCCUUCAUUGCAGGUACCGCAUGAAUAAGGACCGGCUG